CAGUAGCCGCGGUAACACAAAGGGGGCUAGCGUUGCUCGGAAUGACUGGGCGUAAAGGGCGCGUAGGCGGUUCGUACAGUUGGAUGUGAAAUUCCUGGGCUCAACCUAGGAAUUGCAUUUGAUACUGUUUGGCUUGAGUUCGGGAGAGGUGAGUGGAAUUCCCAGUGUAGAGGUGAAAUUCGUAGAUAUUGGGAAGAACACCAGUGGCGAAGGCGGCUCACUGGACCGACACUGACGCUGAGGCGCGAAAGCGUGGGGAGCAAACAGGAUUAGAUACCCCAGUAGUCCCUGUCUCUUAUAC
rnacentral:rRNA from 1 species